CCGACGGUGAGGGGUGAAGGCUGGGGGCGCAAACCGGAUUAGAUACCCGGGUAGUCCCAGCAGUAAACGAUGCCAGCUAUGUGUUGCUGGAACCAUGGGUUCCAGCAGUGCCGAAUGGAAGCCGUGAAGCUGGCCACCUGGGAAGUACGGUCGCAAGGCUGAAACUUAAAGGAAUUGGCGGGGGAGUACCACAACCGGUGGAGCCUGCGGUUUAAUUGGAUACAACGCCGGGAAUCUUACCGGAGGGGACAGCAGUAUGAAGGCCAGGCUAAAGACCUUGCCAGAUCAGCUGAGAGGAGGUGCAUGGCCGUCGCCAGUUCGUACCGUGAGGCAUCCUGUUUAGUCAGGCAACGAUCGAGACCCGCAGUCUUAUUUGCCAGCAUGCCCUUUGGGGUGUAUGGGUACAAUAAGACGACCGCCAGCGCUAAGCUGGAGGAAGGAGCGGGCUACGGUAGGUCAGCAUGCCCCGAAUCCUCCGGGAUACACGCGGGCUACAAUGGUCAGGACAAAAGGUACCGACCUCGAAAGAGUGAGGUAAUCCACAAACCUGAUCUCAGUCCGGAUCGAAGGCUGCAACUCGCCUUCGUGAAGAUGGAAUCGGUAGUAAUCGUGACUCAAAAUGUCACGGUGAAUAUGUCCCU
rnacentral:rRNA from 1 species